GCCAACGUGGCUCAAUGGUAGAGCAUCGCUUUCCUAUGUUAUAAAGAUCUCGGUACAGGCGAAGGUUGCGGGUUCGAUCCCCGUCGUUGGUU